AUUGAACGCUGGCGGCAGGCCUAACACAUGCAAGUCGAGCGGAUGAGAGGAGCUUGCUUCUCGAUUCAGCGGCGGACGGGUGAGUAAUGCCUAGGAAUCUGCCUGGUAGUGGGGGACAACGUUUCGAAAGGAACGCUAAUACCGCAUACGUCCUACGGGAGAAAGCAGGGGACUUUCGGGCCUUGCGCUAUCAGAUGAGCCUAGGUCGGAUUAGCUAGUUGGUGAGGUAAUGGCUCACCAAGGCGACGAUCCGUAACUGGUCUGAGAGGAUGAUCAGUCACACUGGAACUGAGACACGGUCCAGACUCCUACGGGAGGCAGCAGUGGGGAAUAUUGGACAAUGGGCGAAAGCCUGGUCCAGCCAUGCCGCGUGUGUGAAGAAGGUCUUCGGAUUGUAAAGCACUUUAAGUUGGGAGGAAGGGUUGUAGAUUAAUACUCUGCAAUUUUGACGUUACCGACAGAAUAAGCACCGGCUAACUCUGUGCCAGCCGCCGCAGUAAGAC
rnacentral:rRNA from 1 species